rnacentral:lncRNA from 1 species
CCACAUUAAAGGUUCGCAUUAAUUCAAACAAGAACACACAAAACAUAAUUAAUGUAUGAAAUGUUAGAACAAAAUAAUAAUGAUUGUCUACAAAAAAAAAUAAAUUUUGAAGAAAAAGGGAAUGAGGAACUAGAUUGCUAGACAAAGAUACGUAAUGCAUCUGUUAUGUCGCUUCUCUGAUUUGGACAGAGAUAGGGUCAAGCCAUGAGGCCCCAAACGCACUCCCAAGUGUACAUGACAUAAAGAAAAAGAUGAUGAGAAGGAUUAGAAACUCGAACUUAAAUAGUAUAAGUAUUAAGGAGAUAUACAAUCUGAGACUAUAGAAUGAUUCAAAGUUCCAGUUUGAUGAGCAAACGGAAGAAGUAAAUUCAAAUUUGAACCUAGUAAACUAGAUGAGCUAACUGCUGUGAUAUGGCAGACAAGAAACAGAGUGCAACACUAAAUCAGAUUACAGCUUAAAAAUAAGAAGAAUAAAACCUAACUAUCUCAAACAAACACCUAAAAAAUGGCACUGACAUCUUAAACAAAUCAGAAGAAAAUGUCCCCUCAAGUCUAAUCCUUAAUGGAAAUUCAUGUUGAUUAUUUGCAACCAUUUAUCACGGUGAAGGGAGGGUGAACAGAUGAUGAAAAUACUUGAUCAGACUAUUCAGGUUUUAAAAAAAAUGAACAAAGCAUAGAGCUUACAAGCUAAAACUGAACGCUUGGCGUAAAUAUGAGAGCUCAUUUCAAUUUUAAAACACAUCAUGGAUGCUAAAGAGAUAUAUGGCAUAUCGUAAUAAAAUAAGCAAACAAACACUUAGAAGGACGCAAGAGACAGACUUAGUGUUUCAACUCGAAGGUAUUUUUAAGAUUCAUUCUAGGCCAAGAGAAAACGAAUUAAAAAAUUCGACUAGCUCGGCCACAAUCUUACACAAAUAGCUAUAAAUUUAAAUGAACUUUGCACAAAUUACUUCAAAGUUAUUCUUGUGAUUCAACAAAUCUGGGAAUUUAAAUGACCAAACUUACCCAUAAAUCUGGAAAAAUUAUAGAGCUAACUACAAGCCAAACUAAAAUACUACUUCCUUUGUUGUAUUCUCAAAAUUUCCACUUGAGGACAUUUGAUCUUUCAUGGAUUGAUGGAGUCCACAAAUAAUAGAUUAAGACCUAGUUAAAAACGAUGACACUUUCUUUACAAGAACCUUUUUGCUUGAAAGGAAAACAUGGCAGUUAAUUAUACACAAACACGGUCAUUUGGUUAAAAAUAUAAAAGGGAGAAUAUUCCAUGUUCUUUGCAAAAGUGUUUAAAGCUAACAUAUGCAUAGUUUAAAAUGGAGAUGUACUUCACCCGAUUUGAUGGUUAAAAUUAGUGCGUGUAAGAGAGAGUUCGCAGGGAUCCAUUCGAAGAGUCUUUAGAAAAGGAACGUGUUAAGAUUGUGUCAAAAUGAUAAAUACAAGUUGAUCAAACAUAAUACUCACGGGAAGUUGACGUAUCUUAUGCCAAUCUUUGAUGACAAGAAUAAGCUAAACAAACAUCUUUUGUAAGGGAAUAAAAAGAAAUAAAGACAGGGGUUAACUGUUGGGUUCAUAGUAUAUGAAAAAAGUGUGAAUGAAAAAAUAGAGAAUAAAAUGGUGGAGGGGAAGGAGACACUAAAAUGGAAAGUGUAUUCCCAAAUUAGAAAGUUUAUUCUUUCUCCCACAUUGAUGGAAGAAGAGAACUUGAAAGUAUUUAUAAUCAAGAACACUUACUCCACAUGGCAAGUGAGGCAAGAAAUAAUAGAUGUCUCGCUCCGUCGUCAUCGCUUGGCUUGAAUUUGGAUUUGUCUUUUUAGACAAACUUUAUUUGAAUUACGAAGAAUGCCAAGGAAAAACGCAGUAAAAUUUUUCUGCAGCGUUUCGGACCUCUAUUUAUAUAUACAUGCAGUAACAGUUGCAGCAUUGUUUUCGAAGUGCUUCAGAAAUGAUACAUUGUUCUGAACUGAGGCUACAGAAGGUUGCAAUGGUUCGAAAUGAUGCUUCAGAAGAUGGAAUCGUUCAAUGAAGUGACACACUGAUUCAUGAAAUGAGAUGACUGUUCAGGAAGAGAUGCAAUCUUUGAUGAACAGACAUAAACUUACAGCAAAAGUGUAACCUUUGGAGUGAACCAUUGCCUCUUUUAAGAAGAGGCAUGUUAUGGCUAUAUAGACCUGCUUUCAUCCACAAGUUUUGAUACGAAAUUUCAGAAUAAAAAAUACUCCUCUUGUCUUCAAAAAUUCUAUGUGAUCAUUCAAACUGUUGAGUGUGUUUGACGAGUCCAAAUAUUUGAGGUACCGCUAUAUUUGGAUUGAAGGCCAUUUUAUCCUGAGAGGAAAAAUUCCAUAACCUUGGGUACAGUGAGGGGAAUUGUUUCCUUAAGGAAACUUCGUGAAUUCGGACGACUUGGCCUUAUUCAUUUUUGUUUCAUCUAUUUUUUGGUAAAAAUAAAAUACAUCUCUUGGAAAGGUCAUUUUGAUCUGUGUUGAGGGUAUUUGAUAUACUUUAUUGUGUUCUUGUUUAUACCUGAACUCUAGUUGAAGUUGUUGUUCUGCAUAUACAGAUUCUGCGUACCCGUGGAAGGAAAUAACAUUAACGCCAUUAGUUUUAAAUAAUGAGUUAGACACUCGUAAUCACCUAUAUCACAUAUUUAAAGGGGAGAACAACCCCACAUACAACGACUAAUUCAAAACAACAAAAAAACACAUUCAGGUAUCCUUAAUUCGGCAAAUGGGCUAAAAAUACUUGACGUGUAUCACAAGACAAAUUUUAAUAACAAAUAUUCAUGGAUUCACGUAGACAUGACAAAGAAAUAGAAAAUGAAGGAAGCAAGAGUUAAUAUUACGGAUAUGCAUACAGGAAGCCAAACUAUUACAAAAAUAAUCAUAAGUCACCUGACAUCAAAAAAGACUUUGAAGGACAAACUAUAUAAGGUUUGAGAUUAACCUGGAAAGCAAUCGUAUAAAUAUAAAAAAUAAGUGAAGAUUUGCGGAAGAUGACCAGCAAUAUCAAAAUAAAAUAAGCACACGUCUUCACGUAAACAUAUUCAAACAUAAAAAGAAGAAGAAAUAAGAGUAAUUUUUACAUCCAACGGCCCCAAAUCCGAAUAAGGAGGAAACCAAUUUCAAGUUCGAUUAUUUAGGAGAUAAAAUAUCAUAGAGAGGAUAAUGAUAUAUGUGAAAAGAUAUAUAACUAAAAUUAAGAACAACGAGCAGUAGUCCCAAAAUAAGAUGAAUACAUACACAUAUAUUUACAGACCAUCCAUAUCGCACGCGAAAUAACUUUUCAUAAUAAAAAAUUACAUACACCCGCAAAUUCAAAGGAAGACAACAACGACAACAUGAGUUUCAAAAUGAAACCCACACAUCGACAGAACCAAAAUAGAAGGAGAAGAAACAAAUCAGAAUUUUAUUUCUUAUUCACAAAGUCGACGAAAACAACAACAAAGAAAAAAAGAAUGAAACAAAAUCGCAUAUUUCUCAGCAAAAUAGGAAGGAAAAGAAUGGAGAACUGAAGGUUCAUUCGCCCCAUCAUAAACAACGGACAACAAACCUCCAUAACCAAACUUCAAGCCAAAAUCACAUAUUCACCAACCAAAACCACUUCCCAAAACUAACGACGACGACAUAUACCCUUUUAUCCAGAAUCGACAAUAACAACAACACAAGUUUAACCAAAACUUAAGCAAAAUCGUAUAUUUUCAUAAUCAAGGUAAAGAAAAGAGGUGAAUUUGUACCUUUUCCAGGGCAGCGAACUAGGAAUCCGAGGCGAAGAGCAAUUCUACCACCAACGACGACUCCGAAUUUGAACAACGAAAGCAACGAGAGAGCGGCGGGAGUAAAUCCAAACCAAAAAAAUUGAGUGCGUAGUGAAUCGGAGAGUGAGAUAAAACUUUUAAAAAAUUCAAUUUCUCUAUUAUGUCCUCCCCUAAAGGGGUGAACAAGACCCCCUUUUUAAUAGACAAAAUUGGAUCACCACAGCUUCUUAGACACGCUUCCACCGGUUCCAACAAUUUGAAAAUUUUCAAUUCUUUGAAAAGGCAAAACCUUUUAGAAAUCAGUAAGAUUGAUUGCUGAAAAGAAAUAAAGUAGAAAAAGGGGUCACCACUUUCAGUCUAUUUGAAGGAAAGUGACGGAUUGGAGGCUAUCUAGCUUGAAUCCGUUGGUUUGAAGGGCUAAACAUUCUCAAAACAUGAAGGACCUUGAGCUUUUCCAUCUUUUCCAGAAAAUGCAGAGCCUAGGGCUUUGUUCUGCUUCAACAAGAAGUGAUGGGGAAGGUG